UGGAAACGGAAGUAGAGCUCUGAAGCCACCGACGCAUUUUCAGCGUCUUCCCGAGUCAGGGCGGGAAAGUGACCGCCUGCCGAUCCUCAAAUCUGAUUGGUCAACUAAAUGGCCACCGAUCGCAGUUUCUCUUAUCGGUGGGGACGGUAACCAUGGAAACGCGUGGCUGGGCCAGGACCUGUCCUGUGGUUCUUACCUGCGGCUGCUGACGGCUGGUCCCAGGUCAGUUUAUCAGGCGAAGACCCACGCUCAGCAGGUGCAGCUGAGAGGACAGCGCCCCCUGUGGUCGCUUCCCGGCUGCAGGAAGCAGAAAUAAAGAGCCAGUUUUAUUCCUAAGACCCGUUCAGUUCGGGUUUUCAGGUGGUUCUGGCCAACAGCUAAUAGAAAAAUGAACAUGGCAUCAGCUAAAAGUCAUAAUCACCAAAAUAAACAGAAAUAAAGUUCUGAA